CCGGCGCACGGGUGAGUAACACGUAUCCAACCUGCCGUCUACUCUUGGCCAGCCUUCUGAAAGGAAGAUUAAUCCAGGAUGGCAUCAUGAGUUCACGUGUCCGCAUGAUUAAAGGUAUUUUCCGGUAGACGAUGGGGAUGCGUUCCAUUAGAUAGUAGGCGGGGUAACGGCCCACCUAGUCAACGAUGGAUAGGGGUUCUGAGAGGAAGGUCCCCCACAUUGGAACUGAGACACGGUCCAA
rnacentral:rRNA from 1 species